rnacentral:rRNA from 1 species
UNNCNNNCGGCNGCNACACAUGCAGCCGAGCGGUAUUUCUUCUUCGGAAGAGAGAGAGCGGCGUACGGGUGCGUAACACGUGUGCAACCUACCUUUAUCUGGGGGAUAGCCUUUCGAAAGGAAGAUUAAUACCCCAUAAUAUAUUGAAUGGCAUCAUUUAAUAUUGAAAACUCCGGUGGAUAGAGAUGGGCACGCGCAAGAUUAGAUAGUUGGUGAGGUAACGGCUCACCAAGUCUGUGAUCUUUAGGGGUCCUGAGAGGGAGAUCCCCCACACUGGUACUGAGACACGGACCAGACUCCUACGGGAGGCAGCAGUGAGGAAUAUUGGACAAUGGGUGAAAGCCUGAUCCAGCCAUCCCGCGUGAAGGAUGACGGUCCUAUGGAUUGUAAACUUCUUUUGUACAGGGAUAAACCUACUCUCGUGAGGGUAGCUGAAGGUACUGUACGAAUAAGCACCGGCUAACUCCGUGCCAGCAGCCGCGGUAAUACGGAGGGUGCAAGCGUUAUCCGGAUUUAUUGGGUUUAAAGGGUCCGUAGGCGGACCUGUAAGUCAGUGGUGAAAUCUCAUAGCUUAACUAUGAAACUGCCAUUGAUACUGCAGGUCUUGAGUAAAUUUGAAGUGGCUGGAAUAAGUAGUGUAGCGGUGAAAUGCAUAGAUAUUACUUAGAACACCAAUUGCGAAGGCAGGUCACUAAGAUUUAACUGACGCUGAUGGACGAAAGCGUGGGUAGCGAACAGGAUUAGAUACCCUGGUAGUCCACGCCGUAAACGAUGCUAACUCGUUUUUGGAUUUUCGGAUUCAGAGACCAAGCGAAAGUGAUAAGUUAGCCACCUGGGGAGUACGUCCGCAAGGAUGAAACUCAAAGGAAUUGACGAGA